ensembl:snRNA U6atac minor spliceosomal RNA
UAUAUUUAUGAAAGGAGAGAAGUUUAGCAAUCUUCUUGAUAAGAAUGGAAGUGGCCCUCAGACCUUGCAACAGGUAUACAGUUAAGGCAUCAAUACCUACUUUGUGGCAUCUGACCACGGAUUUUU